rnacentral:tRNA from 1 species
AAAGAUUUAAGUUAAGAAAACUAUUAACCUUCAAAGUUAAAAUUAAAAAUAUUUUUAAUCUUUA